rnacentral:lncRNA from 1 species
AGGUUCAUUUGUAGACUCAGCUUGAGAAUUUCAAGUCAUGACUUCUGAAGAUGAGGAUUUCUAUCAGUUAAUUUCUAUUUCUAGGAGAAAGGUGGAAUUGGAAAAAAUCUGCUAGUGAGCUUACCUGUACUUACUGGAAAAUUCAAAAACAAAGAGUAUCCCAUUGAAAACAUGAUGAUUAUGGAGAUGGCACCACCAUCCACUCGUGUAAGUACAUGAGAUUUGCUGGCCCUGUUUUCUACUCUGUUCUAUUCACUGACUCACACAGCAAUUCAUCUCCAACUCACUAAGAAGGAUAUGCAUCUUUCUUCUGUCUCUCCUGCUACUACUGCAUCA